CACGUAGGGGGCAAGCGUUGUCCGGAUUCAUUGGGCGUAAAGAGCUCGUAGGCGGUUUUGUAAGUCGGAUGUGAAAACUCCAGGCUCAACUUGGAGACGCCAUUCGAUACUGCAAUGACUAGAGUCCAGUAGGGGAGUGUGGAAUUCCUGGUGUAGCGGUGAAAUGCGCAGAUAUCAGGAGGAACACCAGCGGCGAAGGCGGCACUCUGGGCUGGUACUGACGCUGAGGAGCGAAAGCGUGGGUAGCAAACAGG
rnacentral:rRNA from 1 species